UAUUGGACAAUGGGCGCAAGCCUGAUCCAGCAAUACCGCGUGUGUGAAGAAGGCCUUAGGGUUGUAAAGCACUUUCAAUUGGGAGGAAAACCUGCCGGUCAAUACCCGGUAGCUCGACAUUACCUUUAGAAGAAGCACCGGCUAACUCCGUGCCAGCAGCCGCGGUAAUACGGAGGGUGCGAGCGUUAAUCGGAAUUACUGGGCGUAAAGCGUGCGUAGGCGGUUCGUUAAGUCAGAUGUGAAAGCCCUGGGCUCAACCUGGGAACUGCAUUUGAAACUGGCGGACUAGAGUUUAGUAGAGGGGAGUGGAAUUUCAGGUGUAGCGGUGAAAUGCGUAGAUAUCUGAAGGAACACCAGUGGCGAAGGCGACUCCCUGGACUAGAACUGACGCUGAGGACGAAA
rnacentral:rRNA from 1 species